AACGAACGCUGGCGGCAUGCCUAACACAUGCAAGUCGAACGAGACCUUCGGGUCUAGUGGCGCACGGGUGCGUAACGCGUGGGAACCUGCCCUUAUGUUCGGAAUAACUCCCCGAAAGGGGUGCUAAUACCGGAUAAUGUCUUCGGACCAAAGAUUUAUCGCCUUUGGAUGGGCCCGCGUUGGAUUAGCUAGUUGGUAGGGUAAAAGCCUACCAAGGCGACGAUCCAUAGCUGGUCUGAGAGGAUGAUCAGCCACACUGGGACUGAGACACGGCCCAGACUCCUACGGGAGGCAGCAGUGGGGAAUAUUGGACAAUCGGCGAAAGCCUGAUCCAGCAAUGCCGCGUGAGUGAUGAAGGUCUUAGGGUUGUAAAGCUCUUUUACCCGGGAGGAUAAUGACAGUACCGGGAGAAUAAGCCCCGGCUAACUCCGUG
rnacentral:rRNA from 1 species